rnacentral:tRNA from 1 species
GGGUUCGUAGCUCAGCUGGAUAGAGCGUCGCCCUCCGGAGGCGAAGGUCGUGGGUUCGAAUCCCGCCGAACUCA